AUUUUGAAGUAUGAUCGUAGGCGCCCGCAAGUGAAACUAUUGCUGAUCAUGAGGCCUUACCAAGAGAUAAUUACAUAUUUCUUCCUUCUCCCUCUUGAUGAUCAUGAGGCCAUGCUCAAAAUUAAAUGGUUGACGAUAUUAGGUGAUAUUUCUUGGAAUUUUAUGCAACUAAUUAUGAAAUUUUACAGUAAGGAGAAACAGGUGAUACUGAAUGGGAAACGUGGGG
rnacentral:lncRNA from 1 species